rnacentral:rRNA from 1 species
GUGCCAGCAGCCGCGGUAAGACGAACCGUGCAAACGUUGUUCGGAAUCACUGGGCUUAAAGGGCGCGUAGGCGGAUGAGCAAGUCUGUGGUGAAAUCCCCCGGCUUAACCGGGGAACUGCCGUGGAUACUGCCCAUCUCGAGGAAGAUAGGGGCGUCUGGAACUAGCGGUGGAGCGGUGAAAUGCGUUGAUAUCGCUAGGAACUCCGGUGGCGAAGGCGAGACGCUGGAUCUUUUCUGACGCUGAGGCGCGAAAGCCAGGGGAGCAAACAGGAUUGGAUACCCUGGUAGUCC